rnacentral:rRNA from 1 species
CUACGGGAUGCAGCAGUGGGGAAUAUUGGACAAUGGGGGAAACCCUGAUCCAGCAAUGCUGCGUGUGUGAAGAAGGCCUGCGGGUUGUAAAGCACUUUCGGUUGGGAGGACUGCUUCUAGCACUAAUAUUGUUGGAAGUUGACGUUACCUUCAGAAGAAGCACCGGCUAACUCCGUGCCAGCAGCCGCGGUAAUACGGAGGGUGCAUGCGUUAAUCGGAAUUACUGGGCGUAAAGCGCGCGUAGGCGGCUAGAUCAGUCGGGUGUGAAAGCCCCGGGCUUAACCUGGGAACUGCAUCCGAUACUGUCUAGCUUGAGUACAGGAGAGGAGAGUGGAAUUCCACAUGUAGCGGUGAAAUGCGUAGAUAUGUGGAGGAACACCAAUGGCGAAGGCAGCUCUCUGGCCUGAUACUGACGCUGAGGUGCGAAAGCGUGGGGAGCAAACAGGAUUAGAUACCCGUGUAGUC